rnacentral:rRNA from 1 species
GAUGAACGCUGGCGGCGUGCUUAACACAUGCAAGUCGAACGGAAAGGCUCCUGCUUGCAGGGGGACUCGAGUGGCGAACGGGUGAGUAACACGUGGGCGAUCUGCCCUGCACUUCGGGAUAAGCCUGGGAAACUGGGUCUAAUACCGGAUAGGACGAUGGUUUGGAUGCCAUUGUGGAAAGUUUUUCGGUGUGGGACGAGCUGGCGGCCUAUCAGCUUGUUGGGGGGGUAAUGGCCUACCAAGGCGACGACGGGUAGCCGGCCGGAGAGGGCGGACAGCCACACUGUGACUGAGACACGGCCCAGGCGCCUACGGGAGGGAGCAGUGGGGAAUGUGGGACAAUGGGCGAACGCCUGUUCCAGCGAUGCCGCGUGUGUGACGCAGGCCGUCGGGGUGGAAAGCACUUGUGGCGGGAACGAAAAGGACUGUGCCAAUACCACGGUUCGAGGACGGGCCCCGCAGAAUAAGCACCGGCUAACUACGUG